GCCAGCAUCUGCGGUAAUUCCAGCUCCAAUAGCGUAUAUGUAAAUUGCUGCGGUUGAAACGCUCGUAGUUGGACUUCUGUCGUCGGAAUUCGGUUCAUUUCAUGUGAUACUGGAUUCCGUCGUCGUUUUUGUCGACGGGUUUCGUUGGGCUUAGUUGUCUGGCGAUUUUCUGUCGGCGAUGUUACUUUGAGGAAAUCAGAGUGCUCAAAGCAAGCGUUCGCUCGUGACUUCACUAGCAUGGAAUAACACAGAUGGGCUCUGUCUCGCAACGUUGGUCUGCGUCAAUUGAGCAACGAUCGAUAGAGACGGUCGGGGGCAUUCGUAUUGCGCAGUUAGAGGUGAAAUUCUCCGAUCUGCGUAAGACGCACUAGUGCGAAAGCAAUUGCCAAGGACGUUCUCUUAUGAUCAAGAGCGAAAGUCGGGGGAUCAAAGAUGAUUAGAUACCGUCGUAGUCCCGACCAUAAAUGAUGCCGACUGAGCGUUGGCAACUCGGCUUCUGCCGGAUGUCAGCGCUCUUGAGAGAAAUUAAAGUCUUUGGGCUCCGGGGGUAGUAUGGUCGCAAGUCUGAAACUUGAAGGAAUUGACGGAAGGGCACCACAAGGCGUGGAUGUUGCGGCUUAAUUUGACUCAACACGGGAAAGCUUACUAGGUUUGGACACUUGAAUGAGGGACAUAUUGAAGCUCUUACCUUAUCUUGUGGAUGGUGGUGCAUGGUCGUUCUCAGCCCGUGGGUUGACCUGUCAGGUUUACUCCGGUAACGCGCGAGACCUCGGUUUGCUAAAUAGACGUGGCUGUCUCGGCACCCACGYUCUUCUUAGAGAGAGACUCGAUGAGAAUCGAGGGAAGUCGAGGCAAUAACAGAUCUGUGAUGCCCUUAGUUAUCCUAGGUCGCACGCGCCAUACAAUGUGGCGCACAACGAGUUUCCUUGGCCGAUAGGAUUGUCUCCUAGCCUGCAUCUCGAGGAUCGAGGCAAUAUCAUUGCUCACAGUGGUUUCGAUCACUUGUCGUUGCUUAUUGUGUAGCUCGUGGUUGUGUCUCAGCUAGGAGAUUUUGGGCAAUCUGAGAGAGCGCUACGUGACUGGGCUAGACUUUUGUAAUUGUUGGUCUUGAACGAGGAAUGCCUAGUAAUCGCAGGUCAUUAUCCUGCGAUGAUUAUGUCCCUGCCCUUUGUACACACCGCCCGUCGCUCCUGCCGUGGCUCGUGCCGGUGAAGAGGGGGAGGCAGCGUCAACGG
rnacentral:rRNA from 1 species